rnacentral:rRNA from 1 species
UACAGAGGGUGCGAGCGUUAAUCGGAAUUACUGGGCGUAAAGCGUGCGUAGACGGCUAUCUAAGUCAGCUGUGAAAGCCCCGGGCUCAACCUGGGAACUGCGGUUGAAACUGGCGAACUAGAAUCUGGCAGAGGGGGGUGGAAUUCCACGUGUAGCAGUGAAAUGCGUAGAGAUGUGGAGGAACACCGAUGGCGAAGGCAGCCCCCUGGGCUGAGAUUGACGCUCAGGCACGAAAGCGUGGGGAGCAAACAGG